UAUUCAGCCUUCAGAUGGAAGGGACAGCCUUGAAGAUGCAUAGGUUUUGAUACUUAAACUUUUGGAGGAUUAAAUUUGCGAAAACGGAAGCUGAGGACCAAAGCAGCUACAGGACUGACCUGCCCAAAACCACACAGUGAGUCUGCAGCCCGGCUUCGGACCAGAGUUUCUUCUGACAAGCGGCAAGCUCACUGAUGGCCACACCCGCUCAUCCUGGAUAACAGUAUUCCCCAGUGGAAUUAACACGAUGCAUCUUCCUGGAGUAUCAUUUUUACUUUAAGAUUUAAAAGCAAGCAAGCAAAUUAAAUAGUCAUUUAAAUCAUAUUUAUAUUAAGCCUAACAUGGCCAUAUUGUAGAGCAAACCAUCGGGAUUUAAUAAACAAAACAGGAAACUUCAAAGAAUGCUUUUUCUUGGAAAGAAGGCAGGAGAGCAAGAAAAGCGACUGCCUCAGCCUUUAUCAGUCUCCAGACCAGUGCCAAGGAGCCAAAGAGAAGAAAUGAGAAUAACCAAGGUAUGCUGUGUCCAAUUAAUUAACUAUUAGCAAACAAAGGACCAAACAAUGUGACUGUAAGCUUCAUGACAGCAGGGAGUUUGUAUAUCUUUUCACCUGUGUAUCGGCA
rnacentral:lncRNA from 1 species